rnacentral:lncRNA from 1 species
GCGCCCCUGGCAACUGUUCAGAAAACCCCUGUCAGAACGGAGGCACCUGCGUGCCCGGCGUGGAUGCCCACAGCUGUGACUGCAGCCCCGGGUUCAAAGGCAGACGCUGCGAGCUUGCCUGCAGAAAGGUGCCCCAGCCCUGCACGCGGCUCUUCUCUGAGACGAAGGCCUUUCCGGUCUGGGAAGGAGGCGUCUGCCACCACGUGUAUAAGAGAGUCUACAAGGUGCACCCAGACACCUGCUUCAGAGAGAGCUGUGAGAGCACCCGCACCAGGAGAACGCCUGACAGGAAACGAAGCAACAGUCCUACACUGGAGAAAUCUUAAGCACAUCCCACCCUCUCCUGGCAAUUCCGCCCCCGUGACUCCCACCUCCCCACACGCAAACUCUGUGGACGUCUUCACGCUAGUCUGGAAGCUCCCGGGCGAGACCACAGAGCCCCGGCUGCAGCCCGCCACCACUCCCAUCAACGCGACGUCACUGGGGAUGCACAGGAGGCUGGCUGGCCCAGGACAGCGCCCCUCGGGCUCCGGACAGGAGCCAGAAGCCGUCCCCCAGGUGUGGGAGAGGCGCCCGGGGGACAAGCAGCUUCGCAGGCAGGGCCACCUCUUCUCAUGUGGCUGAGGGAGCAAAGGAGGCCUUGACGAACAAGCAGAAGCAGAGCACCGGCCGGCACAGGCUGACACCAAAGAGCAUUCGCCACCGCGAGGGGAGGCAGACGCAGGGACCCGCAGGCCGGGCAGCCGUGUGUCAAACGUGCAAAGUUGUGGCACUCGGCUCCCGUCGACCCAAAGGCACCCCCUCCCUCGUAACCGCCACGUCCCCAAAACAUGCACUGCAAGGCCGGCAUGCAGGGCACCCCCACAGAUACACUCUGAGUGUGAAAUAUUUAUACUGCAGUAAGUCGUCUGAAAGAUAAUAUAUUUUUUAAAAAACUGAUUCAGUAAACCCGUUGCUAUACAAACAAUUCAAAAACCCUCAACUAAUUGUUAAAUUAUCAAAUACUGGCUUCUAAAGUACCCAUUUUGGGGACAAUGGAGAAAACACCAAGAAGCAGGAAACAUUCACACACUCGCACCCAAGAACACGGUGCAAGAAUUCACCUCCAUUGAGGGCCCGGGGACAGCCCAGGCCUUCCGAGAUCCAACGUGUCACCAGCCAAGGGGAGCAGCCUGCAGACUUCAGAUUUAAGCUGCAAUGCUGCCAAGGGACCCCGACACGGGGGCUGCGGCAGUUCUCCACAGCCCACGCCACCCCCACUGCCACGUCUCUCACGGUGGCAAGGGCCCUCAUGGUGGGCAAGAACUUCAGCUCCUCUGGGGGCAGCGACCCGAGAGCCCCAAGACACGAGAAGCCACCGCUGGGAAGAGGAGCGGGCCCACCGGCAUCCCCUCCAGCCCAGCCCAUUGCCAUCUCAGGAGCAGGAGGUUCUUGUUCCGCGGACCAACCUCACGAGUUUCUAAAGCCCAGGCAGGCGGGGUCUGACCCGGAUGGAAAAGGGCCCCCUGAGAGGCACAGUCCUGGGGGCAGAAGCCCCGCCUGCACGCUGACCCGGCCGCCGUCUCUGGAGGGUGGCCUCUGCCGCGGUGAGUGUGCCAGGCCUGCCACGCGGGGCUGUUCCCGGGGAGCUUCUGCAGCCCUCGGAUCCCGAAGUCAGAGAAAGCCUUCUCCCCGGGAGACCCAACAACCAAACUGAGGGACUGCUGCCAACAACUCCCAGAGCAGAGCCACAGCUGAGGGGCAGUGGAUCCAGCACUCGGCCCGGCGCCCCUCCGCCAGCCGGCAGGUUGCUGAUGCCAACCGUCCGCAGGCUGGGAUCCAUCCGAGACCAGCCGAUUUUGAAAGAGACGACGAAGAGUAGCGCUGAGGCGGAGCUCAGACACCUCUCACCUAUGACCUUUUCGGUCAAGGUCAGAGAGUAAUUAUUUGUGGCUUUGCGGGCCAAACGGUCACCGCAGCCACGACUCGCGCUUCAGCUGAGGCACAAGUGCAGCCAGGUGCGUGACUGACGGCGCGUGGCUGUGUUCCGAGACAACUCGAUUUACAAAAGACAGGCAGGGCCAAGCCAGCCCACGACCACAGCUGGCGGUGCCCUGGUCUCUGAGGUCGCAGGCUUCAGCCUCUGCAGGGAACGCCAGCCCCUGGUGCCAAGUCACACCAAGGCACCAAAGGCCUCCCAGGUUCCACGGAAGCCCCACUCCAAGGGCAGCAAGGGCUCCUCCCUGCAAGCCUGGACGCGGCCGAGGCGACAGCGGGGCAGACAGACUGGACCCUGGCUGCGAUCUCUUCCAGUCCAGGCUUGAGUCAUGCUGGGCUAUCAGGGGAGAAGCAGCGUCUUCCCAAGCCGAUCGCGGUGACCACCCGCCGCCCUGCUCUCCAGCCCGCCGCUCCACAGCACCAGCUUCUCCUGCAAAAGAGGUUAAAACCAAAGAAGCCAAGCCCACCUGUAUCCUGCUGAGCAUCUCAACAGCUGACCCAAAGCGGGGCUCAAGCCCGGCCAGGCGCCUCCCUGGCGCUGCCCAAGCCAGCAUUCCAGCCACAGACAGCCCCUUUCUCGCCUCUGUGAGAGACACUCUCUGCAGAGUUCUAUCUGAGGCUUUUUAUUUUUAUUAAAGUUUUGCGUGCACACAUCUGUGUAUUUUCAGAAAGGAGGCACAGCCAUCCCGAGACGUCUCCUCUGGGUUCCAGCAGGUCCCCCGUCUCCAAGGCCCGCUGGGAGGACACAGGGUUCAGCCAGGGCUCUGAGGCCGAGAGAAUGGAGAGAAAACCACACACACAAACACGGCUGCCAACUCCCGCGGUGAUGCCGGGACCUGCCGCCGCCGCCGUGCAGGAUACGGCACCGCAAGCAAACGGCAAGAUCGCGGGAGACCACUGGAAGGAGGGGAAACUGCCGCCAGGUGAAUGACCUCAAGCCCCCAGCACGAGGCAGACAGGACGCGUUCCCAAGACACGGCCACUGAAUCCCCAGCUUGGCGCUGUGCUGUCUUGUCAACCCGUCCUGAUGGCCCCUAAGUUAGAUGCCUAGUAAAAUGACUUCCUGACGCUACAAGUAUUGUAACUCAUCCUUCCAACAUUACAAACGAGCCACUGCCUUUUUUGACAUGGCUCCUUAAAAAUCGCCCUUGGAAAGAGCCCAAGCCCACCCGGAAAGACUGACGACGGGAUCAGAAAGUCGUCAGGCACAUAGUUCUGUCACCAUGAAACGGGGAAUCGUGCGCUGCCAGCUUAGCCAAGUGCUGAUCAAAACCUGGGCCGACUAACCACGUAAUUGAGCUCAGACUGAAGACUCUGUUCGUCCCAACAGAGCCCAAGAGCAACAUCCCAGGUUCCGGGCAGGUGCCGGGCACCCGGAGGCCACAAAAGGCAAGAAUACAUGAACACUGACGUGCCUUCGCCUUCGAGCCCUCCUGCCCAUGGCUGACAAAGACAGUACUUGCACUGGCACACAGGCUGCGACAGGAGUGAACAAGGAAAGCCACGGAGCCCUGCUGCUCGCCCGCCAGCACCAGCCGGCCGCGCACGUGGGGGUUCACCCAGCUGCUCUUCUCGUGCAGGACGCAGCUUUCUCUCCGCGCACCCCACACUCGACCACGGGCCCGGAGGCAGCGAAGGCCUGCACCUCGGCGCCGAAUCCCCACGCCAAACGCAGCUCAAAUCGACCGCGUCCAGGACGGAGGGGAAAGGAACUCUAAAAAUCAGCUCUUCGCUUUGCUUUGAAAUAAAAGAGAAUUGGCAAUAAGCCCAUUUAAAAGCUUAGGUUCUCAGAGUCCACACGGGCACGCUGCACUGGUCGAGGCCCCAAGCGGGGCUGAGCCUUGGCACUGGGGACACUUCGGGCUGGCGCCUUGCGGUGGGUCUGUCCUGUGACGGGAGGACGCUCAACAGCAGCCCUGGCCUUGACCCACAGAGCCCAAGGGCACGUGCUCCUGGUCCUCGCGGCCAGAGAGGCCCCCAGAGGAUGCCCGACGUUCUCUGGGGCCAAGAGGACCCCUAACUGAGCAAGGCUGAGAGGACGUACACGGCCUCUUUGAGAAGAACGAGGCCGAGCUCCCGCAGUCUCAUGAAGCGUUAAAAUACUGCAGAGACCCGAGUUCUGGCCACAACCCCGAAGGCAUUUUCUGCAGCACCAAUCCUUGUGCCAGUUCCCCCAAGGAAGGGGUUCCCAGAACGCUCUAGGGCACCCUCCCUCCCGCCAGUGGACCCCUGGCUCACAUGCGCUUCUGCCCCCGACCCCAGCUCACCCACCCUCCUCAGACGCACGGGCUCCCCCAGGGCACGUCCCCCCCAGGGUCAGGCAGAGCUCCCCGGGGAGACCAAGCCCAGGCCCCGAACCCCGCCCACCCGGUGACCCUGGCGCCUGCUUUCCCCUCUGGUCUCAGAAGUGCCAUCUGUGCGGUGUUCUGGCAGCUCCAGGGCGGCGCUCCGAUGCUGCCAGAGGGUCAGGCCGACAGGACAGGACCCGCGGCACAGGAGCUGGCACGAACGCAGACUCCCUUGGAGCUCAGCGUCAGAUACGGACAAGCAGCCGCGCCUUGCUGGCAUCGAGAAGCCGUGCAGAACAAGGCCACACGUCGCUCGUCCGCCUCCUUCCACGCUGCUGUACACUGAGUGCAGCUACGACGCAAUGAGAUAUGUGCACAUUCAAAACCUGAGUGUCUCUGUGGACAACCUGCUCCUUGUCUCAUAAAAUAAAGCGCUGCGUUGUCCUAA